rnacentral:tRNA from 1 species
AAGGAUUUAAGUUAAUUAAACUAAUAGCCUUCAAAGCUAUAAAUAAAGAAAACCUCCUCCCUUUAAGCCUUA